GACGAACGCUGGCGGCGUGCUUAACACAUGCAAGUCGAACGAAGUGGCGCACGGGUGAGUAAUACGUGGGUAACCUGCCCUCCUUUUUGGGAUAAGCCUUGGAAACGGGGUCUAAUACCGAAUAAAGGGGGAUGGGCUCGCGGCCUAUCAGCUUGUUGGUGGGGUGAUGGCCUACCAAGGCGGUGACGGGUAGCCGGCCUGAGAGGGUGACCGGCCACAUUGGGACUGAGAUACGGCCCAGACUCCUACGGGAGGCAGCAGUGGGGAAUUUUGGACAAUGGGGGAAACCCUGAUCCAGCCAUCCCGCGUGUGCGAUGAAGGCCUUCGGGUUGUAAAGCACUUUUGGCAGGAAACCGGUACCUGCAGAAUAAGCACCGGCUAACUACGUGCCAGCAGCCGCGGUAAUAC
rnacentral:rRNA from 1 species